AGUGAACGCUGGCGGUAGGCCUAACACAUGCAAGUCGAACGGCAGCACAGUAAGAGCUUGCUCUUACGGGUGGCGAGUGGCGGACGGGUGAGGAAUACAUCGGAAUCUACUUUUUCGUGGGGGAUAACGUAGGGAAACUUACGCUAAUACCGCAUACGGCCUACGGGUGAAAGCAGGGGAUCUUCGGACCUUGCGCGAUUGAAUGAGCCGAUGUCGGAUUAGCUAGUUGGCGGGGUAAAGGCCCACCAAGGCGACGAUCCGUAGCUGGUCUGAGAGGAUGAUCAGCCACACUGGAACUGAGACACGGUCCAGACUCCUACGGGAGGCAGCAGUGGGGAAUAUUGGACAAUGGGCGCAAGCCUGAUCCAGCCAUACCGCGUGAGUGAAGAAGGCCUUCGGGUUGUAAAGCCCUUUUGUUGGGAAAGAAAAGCAGCAGGUUAAUACCCCGCUGUUCUGACGGUACCCAAAGAAUAAGCACCGGCUAACUUCGUG
rnacentral:rRNA from 1 species